rnacentral:lncRNA from 1 species
CGGGGCGGAGCCUGGGGCACAAUCCCGCCCCCUUCCUGCUACACCCACUGCAGGCCGCGCCUGGCCUUGAUGGGCAGACGUAUUGGCCUGUGGAAAGGGGGUGGGCGGAGCCUCUGCGGCCAGAUGGGUGGGGAUUCAACAUCCUCUUUCCGCCCCACCUCCACCCGCUCCACCUUCCCCCGCGCUUCCUAGGCGGGAGCCCCGCCCUCUAGGGCGGGUCCAACGGACAGCCAGGUUCUAGGACAAGGAUUGACACAGGGGGAAUCCAAUCAGGAGGCGGCGACUCGGGGCGCGGAGAGCUCCGGGCCGGGGUUUUGGUGCCUUGCCUGGGCCGGGGCGAGGCCCUGCGGGAGCCGACUGGGAAGGUCUGGAACUCUGACACCCCGCCCCGCGAGCUGUGCUCUCAGUCUCAUGUCAUCCCACCACAAGGACAGAUAUUAAGUACCAUAUAUGGGAAAAAUGCUAUUUUACAUAAUUAUGAUCCCUGUGGGGGCGGGCAUGGACUCAGCCCUGGAUUCCAUUGUGAGCGUCUUGAGUUCGAUUCCUGACCCUGCCUCUUUAGGAUCCGCACGUUGCUGCCUUUCAGCCUCCAAACCUUCGCUCUGGCCGUUCUCUCCACCUGGAAUACCCUUCCGAGCCUCUCUUCACCUCCAUGUCAUUAACUCGCAUACAUCCUUUCAGAUAUUUCCUGAGGGCUUGUGAUUUGCCAGAUCCUGUACCAGGUGCUGGAACUUGGUGAUAGACAAUCCACAGUCUCUGCUCUGAAGACAUCCAUGCAGAGACGAGGUUUCUCUAUGUUGGCCAGGCUGGUCUCG